UGUAGUCUCGCACAGAUGCAUAUCAAUAAGCGGAGGAAAAGAAACUAACAAGGAUUCCCCUAGUAACGGCGAGUGAAGCGGGAAGAGCUCAAAUUUGAAAUCUUAAAGGGUUCUCCCUUGACGAAUUGUAGUUUAAAGAAGUGUUUUCUGUUGAGGUUUUGGUAAAAGUUCUUUGGAAUAGGACAUCAUAGAGGGUGAGAAUCCCGUAUUUGACCUUUACUUUCAACUUUGUGAUACACUUUCAAAGAGUCGGAUUGUUUGGGAAUGCAGUCCAAAAUGGGUGGUAAAUUUCAUCUAAAGCUAAAUAUUGGCGAGAGACCGAUAGCGAACAAGUACCGUGAGGGAAAGAUGAAAAGAACUUUGAAAAGAGAGUUAAACAGUACGUGAAAUUGUCAAAAGGGAAGCGUUUGACACCAGUGUUGUUUUUCUGAAAAUCAAUUAAAGAACUGUUUAUGCUAAGUUGUUUAGACUUUAUCAGCUAACUGUUUAGUUUUGAGCUUUUCUUUAAUGCACUUUUCAGUUAACAAGUCAACAUCAAUUUCUUUUGCUGUAAAAAAGCUUGAGGAAGGUGGCUUGAGAUUCGUCUUAAGUGUUUAUAGCCUCUUGCCUAUGCAGUCGGAGAGAUUGAGGUCUGCAGCGUAGAUCCUUCGGGGCUAAAUGCAUUUGUGCUAAGUUAUAGCAUUUUAUAGACAACUUGUUGACUAUGAUUUGUCUUGUAGCUUACUCGCUUAUGUUAUUUUACCUACGCUUAGGAUGUUGAACUCUAUCACACACAG
rnacentral:rRNA from 1 species